CUUGUGGCUGCAGGACCAACCUCCACCUGCUUUGGGACCCAGGCUGUCCUCCAGAGCUCCCGUGGGGCCCUGACCAGCCCGCUCUUGCACAGGAUGGCUGCCCAGAGCCUGGCCUGAGGUCGGUUCUCAGCCUCUGUUCUGAGAAAUUAUAGAUCCGCCAGAGAAUGUGCACGCCCAGAAAUUGACCAGGUGAGGCUGGACUUCCCGAGCAGUUAGCGGGCUCCCACCUCCUGGCGCCCAGGGGUGCCCUGCCCAGCCCAGCGCCAUCCUGUCUGUUCCCAAGCCCCAAAGGUGAGUGGACGCUGGCUUUUAUCCUGUGCUUCUCAGACACCAGUGGGACUGCGGCCCCUGAGGCUCGUCAGCCGGGGGACUGUCCUGUCCCAUGAAGGGCAUGUAUGUCUCUUGCCGAUUUCUGGUGAUGGGUCAGCCCGAUCUAUGUUCUUAAAGUCAGUCUGGAUGCAAGUCCUUCCUGGGGCACGGGGGGUGUCCUUCCAUUCUGGGGCUCACCUGGCCGCGCUCUCCGUCGUUUUUGGCAAGAGGUCGUUGGAUCGCAGUUUCCCGAGUCACUCAGCACGGAGCAGGAGUCCUCAGAACGUGGGGGUUUCUGGGCCACUCUCACACGUGGACUUUAAUGUGACGCUCUCGAAGCACCGUGGGGCACGUCGGGGGCCGUGCCCACCAGCCUCGAGGUAGACAAUGUCUUGGUCCCUCGCGGAGCACGGCUUCCCCCAGAGCAGCUUGGCUCCGUGGCCGGCGCCCCGUGUGCGCUCUUCUGGACGGAGCGAGCAGCUCGGCCGCGUCUGGGCCGGAACCAGAGCCCGCGAGAGGUGGACUGUGCUGAGGUCUGUGAGGAACGGACCCCUGCACGCCCCACGUCGUCCUCUGCUCUAGCUCUGACCUGGGGUCGCCCAGCACUGCUGCACGUUUCUGUUCCGAUCACCCACGAGGCGUGUAGCUUUCCCGGCUUUUUGAUACGUUUCCCUCCUUGGUCUGCCUCAGUUUUGCUGUCUGGGCUGAGAGCUCCCGAAAGGUGCUGCCGAGUGCAAUGCCCGCCCCGACAGUCCUCCCCCGUGGCGGUCCCAGUCAGCGCGGUGGGGCCGGCCCAAGCAUGACGCUGGUAUGUCUGCCCGUGGCCGGCGAACGGGCUUUCUGUGAGCACGUACGGUGCUGUGUCCCGGGGGGGUGGGUGACAGGGAGGGGCCGCCACUAGCUCCUUCCACCCGCUGAGCGGACCGCCGUGGGGGCGCUUCUGUCCGGGGCUGCCAGGACCUGGUAGCAAGCCUUCAGCUACGGCUCUCGGUGCGGACGUGGGUUUCCGGCCUCUUGGGCAAAUUCUUCCGGGGGAGCUGCUGGCUCGCGUGUUUAGGUGUGACAGUUACGAGACUUUAAGUCACCCCUGCACCCAGCUUGCAGCUCAAGCUCAUCCCCCCGCCACACACCUCCCCCCCACCCCCGGCCAGCUGCAGCGCCACAGGGGCUGAGCCGGCUGCCCGCAGCACCCCGGAGAGUGCACGCGCCCUGCGCAUCCCUAGCCCGGUGGCUCUCAGCGCUGCCUUCCCCGGGGCGCGCUCUCCAAGGCUUUCCACGUGCCUCACAGCAGAUGACAGCCAUCUUCCAAUGGAGGGGUGUGGGGCACCUUCCCCUUGACUUAGAUCUUCACGAAUCUUGAGCUGUUUUCAACGCGGUACUUUCGGAGGAUCUUUAGUUUGGUGCCGCCGUGGAUGGGACCCUGUUCAUUCCAUGAACAGCUGUUCCCAGCACAUGGAAAUGGAGUGGAUUUUGUUUUUCCUAAUCUGGUGUCCCAGGACCUGGCUGAAUGAACUUGCCAGCGCUGGCUUUCCUGUAGCCAUUUCCGUGGCUUCCUGGUGCCUCACAGCGUAGCCAGCACCAUGCCAGACCGGCCGCGCCUCGCUCCUGGUUUUAGAGCUUUUUAACUAGAAGCCUCUCCUCCUGCUGUGCAGAUGCGUGUCCCACACACGUCGGUGUGCUUUCCAUGUCCACUUUCUCUGUCCUGCUUCAGGCACGGGCGGGUCCUCGCGCAGGGGCCGUGCUGGUUGUCUCUGUGGUCGUCUCUGGUGUGUGCUGGAGCACACGCCGCAUCCACGGCUCUGAACGCUUGCUGUCCUGUCCGGACCGCUGUUCUUUCUGGAGGUGGGGGCGGCCAGACCUCACGCUGCUGUCGGGAACUCAUUCCACUCCAGCAAGCCGACACACUCCCUUUGCUCUGUUAAAACUCACUGUGACUGGUUUUGUGGCUCACCACGGGUCUGGGCUGGAGAAUGCACGCGGGCGGCCUGUUCUGAGCACAGGCGGGUUCCAGGGGCGAGCGCAUGCUCUGCGCCUUUGGCGUCCUGGGUGAUGGGUCCUCCAGGCCAUCUACCGCUCCAGGAGAACGUCAGCCUCCGGGUCUCCGGGUGCCUGGCAGCUCAGUCAAUGAGGCGUCCAAUUCAUGGUUUCGGCUCAGGUCAUGAUCUCGGGGACGUAAGAUUGAGUCCCGCCCUGGUCUUCACGCUCUGGGGGGAGUAUGCACCCCUCCCCCAAUGUGCUCGCUUGCUCUCUCAAUUUUUUUAUUUUUACAGAUUUUAUUUAUUUGACAGAGAGAA